rnacentral:rRNA from 1 species
GUCCCUAGUACGAGAGGACCGGGAUGGACGGACCCCUUGUGAACGAGUUGUCACGCCAGUGGCAGAGCUCGGUAGCGAAGUCCGGAAAAGAUAAAUGCUGAAUGCAUCUAAGCAUGAAGCUUGCCUCGAGAUAAGGUCUCCCAAGACGGCUGCGGCCGUCUAAGAAGAGCGGUCGAAGACUACGACCUUGAUAGGUGGGAGGUGGAAGUGCAGCAAUGCACGUAGCUGACCCAUACUAAUCGCUCGUUCGGCUUGACCAU